GCUUUAAAUGUAAAAUAAAAUUAAUACCUACUUUAGAAGCAUCUAAUCCUUAUCAGGAUUAAAUAAGGUGAAAAAUGUGAAAUACUAGUAUGCUAUCUGAAUAGACUAAAUACUCAAUAGAUAGUAGUUGUUAUCAUUGAGGCAGUGUAAUCCUGUGGUCAAGAAUAUGGUCUCUGGAACCAGAUUAAUUCUGACCAGUUUUGAACCCAGCUGGAUUUCUAAUUUGCUGUAUCACUUUGGGCAAAUUACUUAAUCUCCGUGCCUUUAUUUACUCAAGUGUAAAACAGAAUAAUGGUACCUACCUCAAUAAUUAUGAAUAUUCAACAAGUCAGUAUACUCUUAGCCCUUUGAAUAAUACCUGACACAUAAUAAAUGUUAACUGGUAGCAUCUAUUAUUAUUGAUUUCUUAUUAGCCUAGUUAUAAUAAUGGCCUGCGACUUCAAAUCAUUCCCUUUCCAUUAUCCUAAGAUUUCUAGUUCUUUAGUUACACAGGAAACUACCAAACUCUUUAACUGUCCUACUUUUUUUAAGGUAUUGUAUAUUGCUAAAGAAAAGCAUACAACCAUGCUGUGGUGAAGACUACUCAUUUUUUUUACAAAUAUCAGUUCUUCUUUUCAUAAUAAUAAUAAUAACAGAGUUUUAGCUGGGCCCAUUCCUAGAUAAUAACAUUUCACAGGCCCUCCAGUGACUAAGUUCUUACCAGCAGAACAAGAGCAGAAAUGAUGUGUGCCACUUCAGACCAGGACAUCAAAAUUUUAAAUAUGUGCUUCUCCAAGGUCUUUCCCUUUCCCUAGAGCUGGAAUUGCCUGCAACCAAACUUCAACCAUGUGGAUGAGGAAAACACCAUAGGCGAAAAACAAAAUAAAAGGAACGUGGGUGCCUAAGUGACCUGGAAUGUGCUCCUCGGACUACUACAUAAGU
rnacentral:lncRNA from 1 species